GGGUGCUUUGGUCUUUCUUGGGGCUGCUGAAGUAUCUGCUAGCCCCUCCCUAGCGCUGCCCGUUUCGCCGAUGCUGUGAGGCUUACCCGCCUUUGCAAUAGGCCUACGUAAUGCAACGAGAUAUGAUGCCUCAGUUAGGGUUAGCCUCUUUGCAGACCACACAUUGUGGCUUUUGAACAUCGGAUGGCCCUAUCCAAGAAAAUCCCAACUUUAUAUAUACCUAGUCAUAUUUUCUGCGCUUUCUGCUGGGUUCAGACAUUUUCUAUCGGCAAAGUUGCUGUCACUGCUAGCUAAAGAUGUUUCGUGUCAAGUAUACUUCACAUGCUGUCCGGACUGAGAGAGUGAUUAAAUGACAUUAAAAUAUGUAUAUUCCAUAUAUCUACCAAAUUAUAAUUUUCCAGAAAGCAUAUUAUUUUAUUUUUCUUUAAAUAAUAAAAAAAAAAAAAAUUUGCCGCCUCCCCUGAAACUCUUUGGCGCGCCUCCCCUAAAACUCUUUGGCGCCCCCCAGGGGAGGCGCGGCCCACUCUUUGAAAACCCCUGUUAUGGCCUAUACUGCAGCCACCAGGGGGCAAUCGAGAUAUUUUGGCUUCACUUUUCAGAGCUGUUAUUUUGUCCAUUACUUUAAUCUAUGCAAGCACCACAGGCUUGGGUAAUAGUGGUCUUUAAAGUGAGGGGAUCUAAUUCAUGCCUGCAGAUGUACAUAAGGAAUUUUAUUUGAUGUUAUAUAGCUAUGUAUAUAAAUAUUCACAAUAAAUGACAAACUAUUUUAUUACCAAGGACUUUAUUGAACUACUUUCAUGGCAUUCAGAUCCAACUGGAUAGAGGUACAAAAUGAGUGACAGUUGAAGAUUAGAGGGGACGUGUGCCGGCACAGGAUAGUGAUUGGACAACUGGAUGUUGCAUUAUAUGGUAAACAUGACAGCGCCACGUAGCGAAUGGAAUAAACAUGGACCGGAACAAGAUAUUUUCCUGCUGUAGUGAAUAUUGUAGGAUUACGGCUCAGAACAAGAUGGACUAGAAUCAGAGUGCCAUCAUAUAGGCUACGGCCUGAGUAUGCUGAGGAAUCUAUCCCUGCAGGAUGCAGAAAAGGUCUUCAUCUCUGGACCAGUUUAUCAUCGGAGUGAAGCUGAGGAGUUUGAUAGGGGGAUAUCUAAACAAUUGCGCACUGAAGGGAGACCAUUCAACUAGAUGAAGUUGUAUGGAGGUCUAGAUGGAGGUCUAGAUGGAGUGAUAUGGAGGGGAGGGAGUGAUAUGGAGGGGUGAUUGUCAUUGUUUGACAAUUAUUCAAAAUAAACAAUGUAUAUCUUGAAUCUGCCCUGAGAGUCAACCUUGUGUAUCGCCUCUCUAACAUUACACAUUUGUGGUUGAGAUUGAGUGACUGCAAAAGCCAUAGCAAAUAGAAUACAAUAGAACUUCACUUUUCCAGAACUUUGUGGUGUCAGACACAUCCAAAAUGUAGCAUGAACACAGGCAUGUACAGUAUUUACAGGAAUAUGAAAGAUGAUCUGAUCCACUGAUGUGAUCAAUGUUUUGAGUCAUGCCCAAUACAAAACAUCAUCUAGCAUGCCCAUCCACACCAAAGGAAGCAUCCUCAUGCAGCCCAUCAACCAUAGAGGUUCACCACCAGCAGCAGAGAAGGAAGCGUUGGAUCCUCCGCAGCACCACCAUCCCACAUUACUCAAAGAAAAUGUUU